UACACUCCUGCGGGAGGCAGCAGUGGGGAAUUUUGGACAAUGGGCGAAAGCCUGAUCCAGCAAUGCCGCGUGCAGGAUGAAGGCCUUCGGGUUGUAAACUGCUUUUGUACGGAACGAAAAAGCUCCUUCUAAUACAGGGGGCCCAUGACGGUACCGUAAGAAUAAGCACCGGCUAACUACGUGCCAGCAGCCGCGGUAAUACGUAGGGUGCGAGCGUUAAUCGGAAUUACUGGGCGUAAAGCGUGCGCAGGCGGUUAUGUAAGACAGAUGUGAAAUCCUCGGGCUCAACCUGGGAACUGCAUUUGUGACUGCAUGGCUAGAGUACGGUAGAGGGGGAUGGAAUUCCGCGUGUAGCAGUGAAAUGCGUAGAUAUGCGGAGGAACACCGAUGGCGAAGGCAAUCCCCUGGACCUGUACUGACGCUCAUGCACGAAAGCGUGGGGAGCAAACAGGAUUAGAAACCCGUGUAGUCCC
rnacentral:rRNA from 1 species